AAUCAACGCUGGCGGCGUGCCUAACACAUGCAAGUCGAACGCGAAAGCCCCGCAAGGGGUUAGUAGAGUGGCAAACGGGUGAGUAACACGUGGGUGACCUGCCUUAGAGUGGGGGAUAACGUCCCGAAAGGACGCUAAUACCGCAUAACAUCCUGCCUUUGAAGAGGUGGAGAUCAAAGCCGGGGACCGCAAGGCCUGGCGCUCAAAGAGGGGCCCGCGCCUGAUUAGCUAGUUGGUGAGGAAUGGCUCACCAAGGCAACGAUCAGUAUCCGGCCUGAGAGGGCGGACGGACGACACUGGGACUGAGACACGGCCCAGACUCCUACGGGA
rnacentral:rRNA from 1 species